GAUACCAAUAUUAAAAUAGAAUUAAAUUCUUCCAAAACCUGCGAUGAGGAGAAAAAACCUGCAAAUAAUUGGGAAAUGCCUAUGAGAGAAGGUAUAGAAAUGUAUAAAAGUAGGUAUGAUGACGAUGAGCGUCCUUGUUCGGAUGAUUUUGAGAAUGACCCGAAAGUAAAAUGUCGAUCAUACGAUAUUAUAAUAAAGCUUCCUUCACUUCCUCCUGGUUGCAAUGAAGGUACUUUCAUCGUCAAAAAUAAGGAAGGGAAAAAGUUUGUAUGUAUCAAGGCGAUAAAUUUUAUAUCGGAGUGAACGAAACUGCACUAGAGGAACUGAAGACUAAAUAAGGGCUUAAAAAAUAAAUUUUAUGUAGAAUUCUAUCUUUAAAAAUCAUGAUAUCUUUCUGUAGUUGUAUAAAUAUAUUAUGUAUUUUGGUUAAUCAUAAUUGAAUAAAAACUAUAAUCAAG
rnacentral:lncRNA from 1 species